UUCUCUCGCGCGCAUACAUGCUUGUAACCAUGCACACAUUCAGUUUAACUCCCGUGUUCGUCGCUAAUCUCAUUUCCCACAAACCCCUCGCUGCGCAGCCCAACCACAACCGAGUGCGAUCGAGGAGCUAGCGUUUCCCGUACCGAUCGAUGGCCGUCGACGACAAUGUGCUGCCCUCGCCGUCGCCGCCGCCGCCACCGCCGCCGCGGAUCGUCGUCGUGGCGCUGGCGCUCACGCGCUCCGCCCUCGUGCCGAUGCUGGCGGCCCGGCGCGUCCUCCGCGUCGCGGCCAGGGCCUUCCCCUACCUGGCAUUCGCGCUCGCGUGGGCCAUCUCCGCGGCCUCGGCUGCCAAGAUCGUGGCGCGCCGCGCCUGGGGCGAGGGCUCCGCCCCCUUCCUCUUCCUCCAGGCGUUCACGUCCGGCGCUUACAAGGUCUGCGCCUACAGCUUCCUUGUCUUGCUCGCGCUCGCCGUGCUGCUGCUGUGCGGCCUGUGCGUGGCGUACGUGAUCGCAGUUCUAUCUGGACGCGGUCCAGAAUUCCAGAAGCGUGCCCUGGGAGCAAUCACGUGGGAGUCCAACUCGUUUAGGCUGCCUCGCAUGGCGGUGCUUGGAUUCAUCACAGUUGUGCCCUUCUUCGCGCUAGUUGUCGCCGGUCUUCUGUUGGCGAUGAUGUCGCAUGUGGAGGGAUCGGUGUCUCAGGGAGAAAUGGUCGGUUUUGUGAUCGUGGAUGUGGGUUUCUUUGGAAUGCACGCGACGUCUUGCGUUCUUAUCAUCCCAGCUCUAGCACUUGGCGCCUGGAGGUUCGACCAGGCGGACAGGAAAGCACAGUCGCAGUCUUGUUGAGCACUACCAACUGAAAGGACAAGACCAAAUCGAAUUCAAUAACAUUUUCUUGAAAGAAAAGGUAGACCAUUUUCUACCUUAUGCAUUCAAAACGGGGAGACUCCGAAUUCAAUAACAUUUCACAAGAGAAACUAAGAAGGGAAGAUGUCCGGAGAAUGUGGCAAGGAGCUACAGCGCCCAUUCCGCUGAUGGUUGUGAGUGAGCCCAACAGACACAAGUUUUCAGAGGAAAAAGAGUCUUUGCAAACUUGCUUCUUUCUACUAUUGUAGAUCCUAAUCAUCAUCAGCCAUUAAAAUUUUGUAGACUUGCUUAUUUAUGCUAUUACUAGAUCGUAACGGUCAAUAGUGA